UACGAGGGGGGCAAGCGUUGUUCGGAAUUAUUGGGCGUAAAGGGCGCGUAGGCGGUGCGGUAUGUCUCCUGUGAAAUCUCUAGGCUCAACUUAGAGUCUGCAGGAGAAACUGCCGUGCUUGAGUGCUGGAGAGGUGAGUGGAACUGCGAGUGUAGAGGUGAAAUUCGUAGAUAUUCGCAAGAACACCAGUGGCGAAGGCGGCUCACUGGCCCGGUACUGACGCUGAGGUGCGAAAGCGUGGGGAGCAAACAGG
rnacentral:rRNA from 1 species